rnacentral:rRNA from 1 species
AGGACGAACGCUGGCGGCGUGCUUAACAUAUGCAAGUCACGGGGGUCCCGCAAGGGAUAACCGGCGAACGGGUGCGUAACACGUGAGCAACCUGCCUUUGUGUGGGGGAUAGCCGGGCUAACGCCCGGGUAAUACCGCAUACGGUCACCGAGAGGAGUCUCUUGGUGAAGAAACCCUUUGGGGGCACAGAGAGGGGCUCGCGGCCUAUCAGCUAGGUUGGGGGGGUAAUGGCCCACCAAGGCGACGACGGGUAGCUGGUCUGAGAGGAUGGCCAGCCACAUUGGGACUGAGAGACGGCCCAGACUCCUACGGGAGGCAGCAGUGGGGAAUCUUGCGCAAUGGUCUAAACGACUGACGCAGCGACGCCGCGUGUGGGAGGACGCCGUUUCGGGGUGUAAACCACUGUUGGCCCGGGACCGAACCUCCCUUUUCGAGGGACUGACAGUACCGGUGAGGAAGCACCGCUAACUCCGUGCCAGCAGCCGC